rnacentral:rRNA from 1 species
UACAGAGGUCUCAAGCGUUGUUCGGAUUCAUUGGGCGUAAAGGGUGUGUAGGUGGCGCGCUAAGUCGGGUGUGAAAUUUCGGAGCUUAACUCCGAAACUGCAUUCGAUACUGCGGUGCUUGAGGACUGGAGAGGAGACUGGAAUUCAUGGUGUAGCAGUGAAAUGCGUAGAGAUCAUGAGGAAGACCAGUGGCGAAGGCGGGUCUCUGGGCCGAUACUGACGCUGGAGGAGCGAAAGCGUGGGGAGCGAACAGG